AUUCACAAUGUGUUUGAUGUGAUGUGUCUCCAAAAAGUGAACAGGCUGGACUGGUGAGAUCCUUCACAUCAGACACACCCACUUAAAUGCCAGGAAGUCAGGUGUAUAAAUAACCACAACACAGAGACACAAUAGACAUAACUUCACAUUUAAAGGGUGCUGUCUGCUGGUGUGACAUUUGAGAAAAUGAAACCUCAGGUUGUGUUCCUGCUCUUUGCUCUUGUGCUCAUGCUCACAGCUAAUGCUGCUGAUGACGAUAAAGUCAUUCCAGGGGAAGAAGCCCUUGCACAGAUCCUAGGACACACCGUCCACGCCAGCACAGAGACUCCAAGUCCUGUACCGAAUGAGGAGGAUGGACCUGGAAAUGAAUGAGCGCCAAAUGAAAACCAGCUUUGAAAUCCUUUCUUUAAAUUUGUUCAAAACUGUUAACCAUGGCAUUUAUUAAAGACUGGAUGCAAAAAAAAAUGGUGUUGUGUUUGUUUCAGUUUAAUAUGUAGUUUGAGUGAAUAUCAAAAAGAGUUGUAGUGAAACCCCAGAGGUUACAUCAUAGGGACAAAAGAUUAUGACUAAAAUAUGAUUUUUGACUAUGUUACAUCUGGUCUCAUGAUAGUUCUUUGUUCUUCGUCUG